rnacentral:rRNA from 1 species
GACGAACGCUGGCGGCGUGCUUAACACAUGCAAGUCGAACGAUGAAGCGCCAGCUUGCUGGUGUGGAUUAGUGGCGAACGGGUAAGUCACACGUGAGUUACCUGCCACCUACUCUGGGAUAAGCCUGGGAAACUGGGACUCAUCAUGGAUAUGACCAACUACUGCAUGGUGUGUUGGUGGAAAGAUUUCGUGGUGGGGGAUGGACUCGCGGCCUGUCAGCUUUUUGGGGGGGUAAUGGCCUCCCAAGGCGACGAAGGGUAGCCGGCCUGAGGGGGCGACCGGCCACACUGGGACUGAGACACGGCCCAGACUCCUACGGGAGGCAGCGGUGGGGAAUAGUGCACUAUGGGAGGAAGCCUGAUGCAGCGACGCCGCGUGGGGGAUGACGGCCUUCGGGUUGUAAACCUCUUUCAGUAGGGAAGAAGCGAAAGUGACGGUACCUGCAGAAGAAGCACCGGCUAACUACGUG